UACAGAGGGGGCAAGCGUUGUUCGGAUUUACGUGGGCGUAAAGGGCGCGUAGGCGGCCACCGCAAGUCGGUUGUGAAAUCUCCGGGCUUAACCCGGAAAGGUCAAUCGAUACUGCGGGGCUAGAGUGCCAGAAGGGGCAACUGGAAUUCUCGGUGUAGCGGUGAAAUGCGUAGAUAUCGAGAGGAACACCUGCGGCGAAGGCGGGUUGCUGGGCUGACACUGACGCUGAAGCGCGAAAGCUAGGGGAGCGAACGGG
rnacentral:rRNA from 1 species